rnacentral:rRNA from 1 species
ACUCAAAUGAAUUGACGGGGGCCCGCACAAGCGGCGGAGCAUGCGGAUUAAUUCGAUGCAACGCGAAGAACCUUACCUGGGUUUGACAUAUGCCGGAAACACCUAGAGAUGGGUGCCCUUUUAGUCGGUAUACAGGUGGUGCAUGGCUGUCGUCAGCUCGUGUCGUGAGAUGUUGGGUUAAGUCCCGCAACGAGCGCAACCCUCGUCUUAUGUUGCCAGCACGCCCUUUGGGGUGGUGGGGACUCAUAAGAGACUGCCGGGGUCAACUCGGAGGAAGGUGGGGAUGACGUCAAGUCAUCAUGCCCCUUAUGUCCAGGGCUUCACGCAUGCUACAAUGGCCGGUACAAAGGGCUGCGAUGCCGCAAGGUGGAGCGAAUCCCAAAAAGCCGGUCUCAGUUCGGAUUGGGGUCUGCAACUCGACCCCAUGAAGUCGGAGUCGCUAGUAAUCGCAGAUCAGCAACGCUGCGGUGAAUACGUUCCCGGGCCUUGUACACACCGCCCGU